rnacentral:lncRNA from 1 species
ACAGGUGUGAUGAGCAAUCAAAGGGAUGGUCCUGGAGCUGAAGUAACAGUACCUUUCUACAGCUGGUCAUGUUGGGAUGUCCUGCUGCUCCUGGACAAACUGCUGAAAUCAAGUCUUUAUGUCAGUGCCCUUCUGGCAGGCUUUGAGUUACUUGUAGGAGCACAUGAAGAAGUAAUACUAAAUGAAGCAACAGACCUAGCAUCAGCUUUUUCUCCCGGACCUUCCUGCAAACUCUCCAGCCAGUACAUCAUUCAAGAUCACAUGGCUGCUCAUUUCAAGAAACUGAUGUCUGCCAAAGCUGCUGUUGAUUCAUCUGCACCGAAGAGUUUGCAUACCAGUGUUAAAUAUUCACAGAGCCCGAGCUUGAGUCAGAUCUCCUGAGGCUGAUCAGCUCAGUAGGGGGAGCAGAAACCUAGGCUGGUGUGUGUAUGAAGCUGUCCCAAACGAGCUGGCAGAAAAUGAGGAGAAAACACACAUGAAACUACUAACAAUGGCAAGAUGAGCUAUUCAGACCCCUGUAUGUUUUACACAAUUCCCUUGCACUUUUAGGAGUACAGGGUAUACAUUUACCCAAAAGGAAUUACAAGUAAUAUUAUACAUGAGUACAUGAG